AUACCUACCUGGUAGAAGAGACACUGUAAUCAUGAAGGUUGCUUUCCCAGGGCAAGGUUCAUCCACUGCACUUCAGAUGUGCUGACUUCUGAGAUUUCCCCCAAUGAGGGAAACUAGCCUUCAUAAUUUCUUGUAGUGAAGGAACUGCACUCAUGCUCUCCCACA